CAUCGCUGGACCCCCAGUGAUGCGCGCCCUCUAAGCGACCCCAGGUCAGG
rnacentral:rRNA from 1 species